rnacentral:rRNA from 1 species
AUUGAACGCUGGCGGCAGGCCUAACACAUGCAAGUCGAACGAGUGGCGGACGGGUGAGUAAUGUCUGGGAAACUGCCUUAUGGAGGGGGAUAACUCCUGGAAACGGUAGCUAAUACCGCAUACCAUCAGAUGUGCCCAGAUUGCAUUCGCGAGUUGGUGGGGUAACGGCUCACCAAGGCGACGAUCCCUAGCUGGUCUGAGAGGAUGACCAGCCACACUGGAACUGAGACACGGUCCAGACGCCUACGGGAGGCAGCAGUGGGGAAUAUUGCGCAAUGGGCGAAAGCCUGAUGGAGCCAUGCCGCGUGUGUGAAGAAGGCCUUCGGGUUGUAAAGUACUUUCAGCGGGGAGGCGUUACCCGCAGAAGAAGCACCGGCUAACUCCGUGCCAGCAGCCGCGGUAAUUC